UAAAAUUAAAGUGAAUUGACCUUAUAAAAUUUAAAGGUAAUUAUAUUAUCUAGUUUUAAAUUUUUAAUUUCCAUGUGGUAGAUAUGGCAAUACCGAGUCAAACAACGGUAAAACAGAAGUAAGCCCCAAAAUCUCUUCCUAAGUUAAUAAUAUAAGUUAAAAUAUAGUUUAAAAUACAACCGAGUUGUUAUUAUAAUCAGAAAAUUAUAAAAAUACAAAUGUAGGUACUAGGUAGGUACAGCAAUGGAACAUUUUUUCUAUUGAUUGGUGGGUUAAAUGUAUGUAAAAGCCAAGAUAGCUAACAAACAGAAAUAGAUAGGCAAUGAGAUGUAUUACUAAGAAUACUAUUUGUUGUUAUAAUUUAUUCUUUAUAAAGUAAUUUAUUGAAUUCUAGAACGUAGUGAAAAUGUAUAAAAAAUCUUUUUUUAAAAGUACAAUAUUAUACUAAAUACUGAUUUAAUAUCGGUUUUUAAAUACGUCUUUUCAGUGUCUUCAUUUUAUUUAAGUCAGUAUAAAGAAAACAUUUUAUAAAAAAUUGGGUGUAAAUACCUACAAAUCUUAACACUCUUGCCCUCCCCCCUCACAACCAACAAAUAAAUUAAACAUUUGGCUUAAAGGGCACCUAACUUUAAUGGUUUUUGUUUACAGUAAUCAAAAAACAAUAAGGACAAAUUUAGUAUGGAACCACUAAGAGAAACUAUUAAUGACUAUGCGGUAAAUUCCAAUUGUCAUGAUCAAGUAUUUAAUGGAAUUAUUAAACAAGAAAAUAUUAUUGUCAUUGAACAUCAAUUACUUAAUGGGUUUAUUAAACAGGAAUAUUCUGAUGAAACAGACCACAACAAUGAAAGUCAAUUAUUACAAAUAGAAAAUACAUGCAAACCUGAAAGAGAAGACACAACUUGUAUCAAGAUAAAAACUGAAAGAGAUAUUAUUGAGAGAAAUACAUUUGAAGGAACACUGUUUAAAGAAAACCACUCUUCUGAAUUCAUAGGAAAAACAUUUAAAAUUGAAAGAGAAGACACAACUUAUAACAAGAUAAAAACUGAAAAAGAUGUUAUUGAGGAAAAUGAAUUUGAAGGGACACUUCUUAAGGAAUACCACUCUUCUGAACUCUAUAAAACUUUAAGUAGAACUGAAGCAAACACAAAUUAUACCGAAGUAAAAAACGAAAAAGAUUUUAUUUACGGUCAUGAAUGUGAUGGAACAAUUUAUAACAAAACCCAUUGUUCGGAACUCAUUAAUCGUAUGUAUUCGGAUAAAAAAUCUAACUUAAGAGAAAAGGAAUUCAUUUGUGACAUGUGUAAUAAAUCCUUUUAUAAUAAAACACAUUUGAGAAAACACAUACUACUUCAUCCUAGAAAAGUGCUAUACAAUAGUACUGUUUGUAAUACGCAUUUAAAAACACACUUGAAAUUGCACAUUAGUGUUAAGCCGUUUAAAUGUGAUAUGUGUAAUAAAAAGUUUUCCUAUGAUUCACAAUUCAAAGCUCACAUGAGGACACACACUGGAGAAAAGCCAUAUGAAUGUGAUAUCUGCGGUCAAGCAUUUGCUCAAUCAUAUAAUUUAAUAGUGCAUACAAGGAUACAUACUGGAGAAAGACCAUUUAAAUGUGAUACCUGCGGUAAAGGGUUUUCUAAUUCAUCAAGUUUAACAGUGCAUAAGAGAAUACAUACAGGAGAAAGACCAUUUAAAUGUGAUAUCUGUGAUCUAUCAUUUUCAAACAGAGGAGCAUUAAAACUUCAUACAAGAACACAUACCGGAGCAAAACCAUUUAAUUGUGAUUUUUGUGAUCGAAAGUUUUCUUCUUCUUCAAAUUUAUCAAUGCAUACGAGGAUACAUACUGGUAAAAAACCAUUUAAAUGUGAUAUCUGUGAUCGAACUUUUUCUGGUACAUCACAUUUAAAAUAUCAUAUUAGGACACAUACUGAAAAAAAGCUAUUUAAAUGUGAUAUCUGUGCUCAAGGGUUUAAUCAACGAUCUCAUUUAAAUGUUCAUACAAGAACACAUACUGGAAAAAAGCCAUUUGAAUGUGAUAUCUGUAAUAAAACUUUUGCUCAUGCAUCAACUUUAAAAAUACAUACAAGAACGCAUACCGGGGAUAAACCAUUUAAAUGUGAUAUCUGUCUUUCAGCAUUUUCACAUGCACCGACAUUAAAAAAACAUACCAGGACACAUAGGUACUAGAGAAAAUGUGAAAUCUAAGAUCAAGUGUUUUCUCGUUCACAAAAUCCUUUAAGGAUAUCAACCAAAGGAUAUCCUUAAAAAUACAACAUACUCUCUGUUUAAUCUUGUGACAACCGAGUACCUAGUUUCAUAUAUGUAUGUUUCCUUCCAUCCUGUCCGCCGUUGUCCGUGAGAUUCGCUUGUGAUUGAGCGAGCAAUACAUUGUCAGGUAGGCAAUCAACGUGCGGUAGAUCGCGGCCACGUGUUGUUUGAACGUAAGUGUAUAAUUUAAGUCUAAAGUAUCAAAGUUAUACCAAAUUUGACGUUUUUACUUAAUUCAUGCUACAGCGAAUUAAUAUA